AUUGAACGCUGGCGGCAUGCCUUACACAUGCAAGUCGAACGGCAGCGCGGACUUCGGUCUGGCGGCGAGUGGCGAACGGGUGAGUAAUACAUCGGAACGUACCCUGUUGUGGGGGAUAACUAGUCGAAAGAUUAGCUAAUACCGCAUACGACCUGAGGGUGAAAGUGGGGGACCGCAAGGCCUCACGCAGCAGGAGCGGCCGAUGUCUGAUUAGCUAGUUGGUGGGGUAAAGGCCCAACAAGGCGAAGAUCAGUAGCUGGUCUGAGAGGACGAUCAGCCACACUGGGUCUGAGACACGGCCCAGACUCAUACGGGAGGCAGCAGUGGGGAAUUUUAGACAAUGGGGGCAACCCUGAUCCAGCAAUGCCGCGUGUGUGAAGAAGGCCUUCGGGUUGUAAAGCACUUUUGUCCGGAAAGAAAUCGCGCUGGUUAAUACCUGGCGUGGAUGACGGUACCGGAAGAAUAAGCACCGGCUAACUACGUGCCAGCCGCCGCCGUAA
rnacentral:rRNA from 1 species